UACAGAGACUGCAAGCGUUAUUCGGAUUCACUGGGCGUAAAGGGUGCGCAGGCGGUCGUGUGUGUUAGGUGUGAAAGCCCGGGGCUCAACCUCGGAAUUUCGCCUAAAACUAUACGACUAGAGCAUUGGAGAGGGAAGCGGAAUUCAUGGUGUAGCAGUGAAAUGCGUAGAUAUCAUGAGGAACACCAGAGGCGAAGGCGGCUUCCAGGACAAUUGCUGACGCUCAGGCACGAAAGCGUGGGGAGAGAAAGGG
rnacentral:rRNA from 1 species